UACGGGGGGGGCAAGCGUUGUUCGGAAUUACUGGGCGUAAAGGGCUCGUAGGUGGCCAACUAAGUCAGACGUGAAAUCCCUCGGCUUAACCGGGGAACUGCGUCUGAUACUGGAUGGCUUGAGUUUGGGAGAGGGACGCGGAAUUCCAGGUGUAGCGGUGAAAUGCGUAGAUAUCUGGAGGAACACCGGUGGCGAAGGCGGCGUCCUGGACCAACACUGACACUGAGGAGCGAAAGCGUGGGGAGCGAACAGG
rnacentral:rRNA from 1 species